rnacentral:rRNA from 1 species
CAUUGCUCAGAAUGAGGUAGGGUACUGGCAACAGUGCUCUGCUGAAUAUUUUCACCCAUGUCUUUUGCGCACUUUUUGUUUCCUGGGCGAGUUUGCUCGCCACCAGGACCCCCAUAUGAACCUUUUUUGUUUUUGCACUCAGCGUCAGUACAAUAAUUUAAUCUAUUAAAACUUUCAACAACGGAUCUCUUGGUUCUGGCAUCGAUGAAGAACGCAGCGAAAUGCGAUACGUAGUGUGAAUUGCAGAAUUCAGUGAAUCAUCGAAUCUUUGAACGCACAUUGCGCCCUUUGGUAUUCCAAAGGGCAUGCCUGUUCGAGCGUCAUUUGUACCCUCAAGCUUUGCUUGGUGUUGGGCGUCUUAUUGUCUCUCCGUCUCGGGGAGACUCGCCUUAAAACAAUUGGCAGCCGGCCUACUGGUUUCGGAGCGCAGCACAAAUUUGCGCUUGCAAUCAGCCAAGGGCGGCAUCCAUGAAGCCUUUUUUCUCUCACAUUUUGACCUCGGAUCAGGUAGGGAUACCCGCUGAACUUAAGCAUAUCAAUAGGCCCGGAGGAAAUGGAGU